rnacentral:rRNA from 1 species
GCAGCCGCGGUAAUACGUAGGGGGCAAGCGUUAUCCGGAUUUACUGGGUGUAAAGGGAGCGUAGACGGUUGUGCAAGUCUGAAGUGAAAGCCCGGGGCUCAACCCCGGGACUGCUUUGGAAACUGUAUAACUAGAGUGCAGGAGAGGUAAGCGGAAUUCCUAGUGUAGCGGUGAAAUGCGUAGAUAUUAGGAGGAACACCAGUGGCGAAGGCGGCUUACUGGACUGUAACUGACGUUGAGGCUCGAAAGCGUGGGGAGCAAACAGGAUUAGAUACCCC